rnacentral:rRNA from 1 species
GUCGAACGGCAGCACAGUAAGAGCUUGCUCUUACGGGUGGCGAGUGGCGGACGGGUGAGGAAUACAUCGGAAUCUACUCUGUCGUGGGGGAUAACGUAGGGAAACUUACGCUAAUACCGCAUACGACCUACGGGUGAAAGCAGGGGAUCUUCGGACCUUGCGCGAUUGAAUGAGCCGAUGUCGGAUUAGCUAGUUGGCGGGGUAAAGGCCCACCAAGGCGACGAUCCGUAGCUGGUCUGAGAGGAUGAUCAGCCACACUGGAACUGAGACACGGUCCAGACUCCUACGGGAGGCAGCAGUGGGGAAUAUUGGACAAUGGGCGCAAGCCUGAUCCAGCCAUACCGCGUGGGUGAAGAAGGCCUUCGGGUUGUAAAGCCCUUUUGUUGGGAAAGAAAUCCAGCCGGCUAAUACCUGGUUGGGAUGACGGUACCCAAAGAAUAAGCACCGGCUAACUUCGUGCCAGCAGCCGCGGUAAUACGAAGGGUGCAAGCGUUACUCGGAAUUACUGGGCGUAAAGCGUGCGUAGGUGGUCGUUUAAGUCCGUUGUGAAAGCCCUGGGCUCAACCUGGGAACUGCAGUGGAUACUGGGCGACUAGAGUGUGGUAGAGGGUAGCGGAAUUCCUGGUGUAGCAGUGAAAUGCGUAGAGAUCAGGAGGAACAUCCAUGGCGAAGGCAGCUACCUGGACCAACACUGACACUGAGGCACGAAAG